UUGGAGGGCAAGUCUGGUGCCAGCAGCCGCGGUAAUUCCAGCUCCAAUAGCGUAUAUUAAAGUUGUUGCAGUUAAAAAGCUCGUAGUUGAAUUUCGGGAUUGACGUGAUGGUCGUGCCUUACGGGGUAUGAACUGUCGCAGUUGAUUUCUCACCUUCUGGAGAAGCUCGAUGUCCUUAAUUGGGUGUCUUGCGGAACCAGGACCUUUACCUUGAAAAAAUUAGAGUGUUUAAAGCAGGCAUUUUGCUCGAAUACAUUAGCAUGGAAUAAUAGAAUAGGACGGCAUGGUUCUAUUUUGUUGGUUUCUAGGAUCACCGUAAUGAUUAAUAGGGAUAGUUGGGGGCAUUAGUAUUCAAUUGUCAGAGGUGAAAUUCUUGGAUUUAUUGAAGACUAACUACUGCGAAAGCAUUUGCCAAGGAUGUUUUCAUUAAUCAAGAACGAAAGUUAGGGGAUCGAAGACGAUCAGAUACCGUUGUAGUCUUAACCAUAAACUAUGCCGACUAGGAAUCAGACGAUGUUAAUUUUUUAAUGACUCGUUCGGCGCCUUACGGGAAAC
rnacentral:rRNA from 1 species